AGGGUCUGGGGGCUGUGUCAGGUGAAAACCUGCAGUGGCUGGCAAGGCAGCGCCGUUUUACCUGAUCCUAUUGUAUCUAAAGCGGUUCAAAGUAUCUUCUACAGGAGUUCCAGUAUGCAAAUUAGGAUUGUUCCUGAGCGGUCUCACGACUUGUAGUGUUAGGAUGCUAAUUUUAUUAUUUCCCCCACAAACUGCCUGCAAGGGGAGAUUUGAAGCUGGGAUGCAGUGGUGUCACAGCCUAGAGUCACUAGCUCGCAGUCCAUGAAGGCAGAGGUGGCUUAUUUGAAAAUAGUGGAGCGGAGAGGGAUGGGCCACACCUUUGGCCGAGUUGUAUUUGCAUUGAGGGAUAACUUUGUUUUUUUUCUCCUGGAAACUCACUUGAUUGUUAGUACUUGCUCUUUGCUGUGGCUGCUGAGAUAAGUCUUAACGUUUUCGUUUAACACAGUGAAAAUGUGUGAAAAGGAAUACUGAAUGGCAAACGUUUAAAAAAACAAUGAAUGUUCUACCAGUUCUAUCAGUUGCUGGGCAAUUGCUGGUUGUUAAAUCUUGGCUUGCCCAAAUCCCAGGAGAGAAAAUAUCCUGCCGUAUCCUGAACUGUUAAGUAGAUGUUCUUUUUCCCUUCAUCCUAUUCUUUCGCCUAGUCAGAUUUCCCAUCCCACCUACCGGAAAGCAAUGACUUUAUUCAACAAACUAUAAAUCCAUUCACACUAAGAUGUUUGGGUGCUGACAUAUAGGUAGAUCAGUUAUGUUUUAAAGAGAGGCAUAUGGAAGGGAGAAGGUUUGGAAUUAGAGCAACCUAGGUAGUACUUCCUGUGUGACUACAGCAAGUUCGUGACAGCCUCUCCGAGCCUCAGUUUCCUCAUCAGUAAAGCCUGCAGUCGGUGGUGUGCUAGCGCCAACUGAUGGUAGUGACACACCCAGAACCCCAGAAUUGGCAUAAAGAUUAUUUUAAGCUGAAGACACUUGAGAUUCAAUUGAUACAGAAAGAAGCCUUCUCAGAGCUUCCUUUAUCUGACUAGAAGCUGAAACUUCUGAUAAAUGAAGACCAUCAUAAAUUCCCUCUUGAGGAAAGCUACUACCAGGAGAGAGACCAAGAGUAAAUCUACCAUAAAUACCCCAUGACCAUGAGUUCAGAAAACCUACAUAAACAUAUAUUAUCACAAAAUGCCUUAUUGCUCAUUUGUUCUCCUAAAACCACAUUUGUUUUUCCUAAAGGAACCUAUUUGUUCAUCCCAUAGGAACAUUUACUCCGUCUUCCCUUUCCUUACUAAUUUAGGUAUAUAAGCCUCAAAUUCUAACCAUCCAUUUCAGUAACUCAUCUCUGAGCCCUCCUAUGUACAUGUAGUUCUUGUAAAUAAACCCUUUUCUUUUACUAA